GUGUUACCUAACACUACAGGGAGAUAACUCUGAAAAAUCAGCUAAACGUUUUAAUUACGUUGUGUUGUUAUGGGAAUAUUAAGCUUCUCAAUGAUCAAAAUUAGUGUUUGUCAAACUGCUAUAUAACCAACGUAAUUUUUCUGAUAAAACGGUUGGUUCAAAUUUUUUGAAAUUUUUAUAUUUUUGUCAAAGGGCCAAAGUAAAUACUUUGUCAAAAUUUUAUGAAAAUUAAACGAGCCAAAUUAAUUUUAGUGAAGGUGUUGGGUACCACCUUAAAUUCAGACAAAUGAAUUAAGAUACAGUAAAGAGUAGUCUCAAAAUUUCCUACAUUGUCCCUCCUAAUAGAGGCCUUUCCAUCAUACAAGAGCAGUCUUGUAUCUUCUACAUAUUGGUAAUAUCUGUUGUAAAUGAGACACAAGAACAACCUCUCACAUAAGGUUCCCAUUUUAUACUAAAUAAACUUGUCAUAGAUACCAGGA
rnacentral:lncRNA from 1 species